UACUUGGAUAACCGUGGUAAUUCUAGAGCUAAUACAUGCUGAAAAUCCCGACUCCGGAAGGGAUGUGUUUAUUAGAUUCAAAACCCAAUGCCCCUCCGGGCUCACUGGUGAUUCAUGAUAACUUCGCGGAUCGCACGGCCUUGCGCCGGCGAUGGUUCAUUCAAAUUUCUUCCCUAUCAACUUUCGAUGUUUGGGUAGUGGCCAAACAUGGUUGCAACGGGUAACGGAGGGUUAGGGCUCGACCCCGGAGAAGGAGCCUGAGAAACGGCUACUACAUCCAAGGAAGGCAGCAGGCGCGCAAAUUACCCAAUCCCGACUCGGGGAGGUAGUGACAAUAAAUACUGAUACAGGGCCCUUUCGGGUCUUGUAAUUGGAAUGAGUACAACUUAAAUCCCUUAACGAGGAACAAUUGGAGG
rnacentral:rRNA from 1 species